rnacentral:rRNA from 1 species
AGGCCUAAUACAUGCAAGUCGAGGGGUAGUGUAGCAAUACAUGGAGACCGGCGCACGGGUGCGUAACGCGUAUGAAAGGUGUCCAAAUCUCUGGGAUAGCCCCCCGGAAACGGGGAUUAAUACCGGAUGGUCUAUAGAAGUGGCAUCACUUUUAUAGUAAAGCUCAGGCGGAUUUUGGGUCCUCAUGCGUACGAUUAGCUAGUUGGCGGGGUAACGGCCACCAAGGCGACGAUCGUUAGGGGUCCUGAGAGGGAGAUCCCCCACACUGGUACUGAGACACGGGCCAGACUCCUACGGGAGGCAGCAGUAGGGAAUAUUGGGCAAUGGGCGCAAGCCUGACCCAGCCAUGCCGCGUGCAGGAAGAAGGCCCUCUGGGUUGUAAACUGCUUUUGGGAGGGGACAAAAAGCCAAUGCGUUGGUAAUUGAGUGUACCUCCAGAAUAAGCACCGGCUAACUCCGUGCCAGCAGCCGCGGUAAUACGGAGGGUGCAAGCGUUGUCCGGAUUUAUUGGGUUUAAAGGGUGC